UCGAACGGUAACGACAGAAACAAUCCUUCGGGUGCGUUUCUGGGCGACGAGUGGCGGACGGGUGAGUAAUACAUAGGAAUCUGCCCAGUAGCGGGGGACAACCUGGUGAAAACCAGGCUAAUACCGCAUACGCCCUACGGGGGAAAGCAGGAGAUCUUCGGACCUUGCACUAUUGGAUGAGCCUAUGUCUGAUUAGCUUGUUGGUAGGGUAACGGCCUACCAAGGCGACGAUCAGUAGCUGGUCUGAGAGGACGAUCAGCCACACUGGGACUGAGACACGGCCCAGACUCCUACGGGAGGCAGCAGUGGGGAAUAUUGGACAAUGGGCGCAAGCCUGAUCCAGCAAUGCCGCGUGUGUGAAGAAGGCCUGCGGGUUGUAAAGCACUUUUAGUAGGGAAGAAAACUUGGGAAUUAAUACCUCCCAAGCUUGACGUUACUUACAGAAAAAGCACCGGCUAACUCCGUGCCAGCAGCCGCGGUAAUACGGAGGGUGCGAGCGUUAAUCGGAAUUACUGGGCGUAAAGCGCGCGUAGGCGGUUUGGUAAGUCGGAUGUGAAAGCCCUGGGCUCAACCUGGGAAUUGCAUUCGAUACUGCCAGGCUA
rnacentral:rRNA from 1 species